rnacentral:rRNA from 1 species
GAAAAGAAACCAACUGGGAUUACCUUAGUAACGGCGAGUGAAGCGGUAACAGCUCAAAUUUGAAAUCUGGCUCCUUCGGAGUCCGAGUUGUAAUUUGUAGAAGAUGCUUUGGGCUGUAGGUUCGGCCUAAGUUCCUUGGAACAGGACGUCAUAGAGGGUGAGAAUCCCGUAUGCGGCCGAGGCUUGCGCCCAUGUAAAGCUCUUUCGACGAGUCGAGUUGUUUGGGAAUGCAGCUCAAAAUGGGUGGUAAAUUUCAUCUAAAGCUAAAUAUUGGCCAGAGACCGAUAGCGCACAAGUAGAGUGAUCGAAAGAUGAAAAGCACUUUGGAAAGAGAGUUAAACAGUACGUGAAAUUGUUGAAAGGGAAGCGCUUGCAACCAGACUUGGGCGCUGCGGAUCACCUCGGGUUUUCUCGAGGGCACUCGGUAGCGCACAGGCCAGCAUCGGUUCGGGUGGCUGGAGAAAGGCCGUUGGAACGUAGCUCCCCUCGGGGAGUGUUAUAGCCAACGGUGCCAUGCAGCCCAGCCGGACCGAGGACCGCGCCUUCGGGCUAGGAUGCUGGCGUAAUGGUUGUAAGCGACCCGUCUUGAAACACGGACCAAGGAGUCUAACAUCUAUGCGAGUGUUUGGGCGUGAAAACCCACACGCGGAAUGAAAGUGAACGUAGGUGAGAACCCUUCUGGGGCGCAUCAUCGACCGAUCCUGAUGUCUUCGGAUGGAUUUGAGUAAGAGCAUAGCUGUUGGGACCCGAAAGAUGGUGAACUAUGCCUGAAUAGGGUGAAGCCAGAGGAAACUCUGGUGGAGGCUCGCAGCGGUUCUGACGUGCAAAUCGAUCGUCAAAUUUGGGUAUAGGGGCGAAAGACUAAUCGA